UAGUAUGAAAUUUUCGGAGAUAUCCCUGCAAAAAGCGUUGCUCCUAUAACACAAAAUCAGUGGUAUAAAGAUAGAUAGAAAAAUCUACUUUUUAUCUAGACCAAUGUGACUAGAUGGUGGCAUGUAGUUUUGCAUUGCCGAAUGACGACUAAAUACUUGUCUAUUCACUUGUUAUGUUAAUGAGCACAAAAAAGAAAAAAGGCUGCAAGUGAACACGUGUCGUUUUGAAUUGUGAGUGUUGAACAAAAAUUUAUAAAAAUACUUCUUUCUUGUGCAUCUAAUUAUUUACGAAAUUUGAGUACAGCCAGAGCUAUGUUACAAUUGUUUAUUGACAAUUUUGCAGUUAUAUUUGGCCGGGAGUCUGAAUCGUACAACGUCCAUGGUUUACUCCAUAUUUGCGACUGUGUUGAAGAAUUCGGUUGUCUUUACACAUUUUCAGCAUAUGAUUUUGAAAAUCAUUUGCAAUUAAUUUAAAAAAAUGUCAGGAAGCCGACAUAAAUUCUUCAACAAUUGGCAAAUAUAAAUGAAAUUUCGGAAUUUUUUUUCAAUGAAAGCAAAAUAGAAAUUAAAGAAAAAAAUAAUUUAAUUACAAGUUAUAGGAUGAAACAUUUUUAUUUAAGUUCAAAGGCACCAGAUAAUUUCGGCGUUAUUUUGCCAGAUAUACGCAUUUCAAUUAAAAAAUUAAAAAGUGAAAUGCAGGAGAAAUAAUAUUGGAAGCAAUCCGGUUUAAAAAUGUCCAUCCGUUAGCUCCAUUCACUUCAUUAGCUCUAGGAAUAGCACUUUCGGAUUCAUUAUCUGAAGAAAUUGAAGAAUUUAAAGCAGAUGAUGUAGCAUAUAAAUUGAUGUUGCUUCCUUCUUCACAAAAUUUUCUACUAUUGCCUUUAUUAAAUAGCUGCACUUUUUAAUAGAUAACAAAAACCAAAACGAAUAUAAAAAAAAUAUGAUAUAAAAAAUAUAAUAUAAAAAAAACCAAAUAUUUAUAUGAAAAUGACUCAGCAACAACCAAAUCAGAUAAGACAAUUUGACUUCAAAGAGAAUGAAAUAAUAUUUUAUGAUUCGCAAAUUCAUUCCGAAAACAACUAUAGCGGCAGCAGCAAUAACAACAACUAUCUCAAAACCAAUAAUAAUACCAACUCCCCAACAGCAAUAGCAAUAACAAAACUUGUGUAAGGUGCAAAUCUUUGGAGGCUAAAAUUGACGAUUUGAACACCAAAUUUGGCAAAAUGCUAGGUGAACAUCAAUGAGUAUAAUAACGCAAUAAAACAAUUAUUAAAGGGGGAUCCUGAAAAGCACUUUGAGGAAAUUAUCUCCAGAUCUAUGUGCAACGAAGUCAAUGUAGGCGGCGUCCAUGGCAAGAUUUGCCUCAAAAAAUAUGCUUCGUUGUAUGAUGCGAUUAUAAGUGGAUUGUCGGCGACGUCAGAAAAGCCCGAUAAACAACUAUCGAAAUGCCUCCACAUUGUUAAAAAAUAGGCUGUAUAGAUUGACCACAGUUAAUAAACUAAAAAUCGGAAAUAACUAAUAUAAUUAAUAAAAACAGAUUUUAAUCAAAAAUAUAAAAAAACCAAAAUAAAAAACCAGCAAUUUUC